GUCCAGCACAUAACUGACUGAGCCACCCAUGUGCCUCCCACUAUUCUAGAUUCUGAUCUCUGAUGAAGUAAGCUUUAAUGUUGAGAGCUGCACUAUGGAAAGGGCCAUGUGGAAAGGUAUUCAAGGUGUUCUCCAGUCAUCAUCCAGUGAAGAACUACUGACUCUCAGUCUACUGACCCAUGAGGAUAUGAAUCUUGCCAAUAACUUGUAAAUGAUCUUGGAAGAAUACCUACCCCAUUCAAUUCUUAAGUUGACUGUAGCACAGGAUGAUGUCUAUUACAGCCUUGUGAAAGGCACAAAGCCAGAGAACUGACAGAUAUUCCCUAAAUGCAUUUAUUUCAUGAGUUUGUCCCUCAUUAAUUACAGUUGGCAAUGGAUUCAUUGUAAGAUUAACUAAGCAAAGCCAAGGCCAU